UGGGGAAUCUUGCGCAAUGGGCGAAAGCCUGACGCAGCGAUGCCGCGUGAGCGAUGAAGGCCUUCGGGUUGUAAAGCUCUGUGGAUGGAGACGAAUAAUGCAGGGUUAAUAUCCCUGUAGAUGACGGUAUCCAUUUAGCAAGCACCGGCUAACUCUGUGCCAGCAGCCGCGGUAAUACAGAGGGUGCAAACGUUGUUCGGAAUUACUGGGCGUAAAGCGCGUGUAGGCUGCAAUGUAAGUCGGAUGUGAAAUCCCGCGGCUCAACCGUGGAAGUGCACUCGAAACUGCAUAGCUAGAGUCUCGGAGAGGAAGGUGGAAUGCUUGGUGUAGAGGUGAAAUUCGUAGAUAUCAAGCGGAACACCGGUGGCGAAGGCGGCCUUCUGGACGAUGACUGACGCUGAGACGCGAAAGCGUGGGUAGCAAACAGG
rnacentral:rRNA from 1 species